UUGAACGCUGGCGGCAUGCCUUACACAUGCAAGUCGAACGGUAGAGGAGCAAUCCUCGAGAGUGGCGAACGGGUGAGUAAUGUAUCGGAACGUGCCCAGUAGUGGGGGAUAGCCCGGCGAAAGCCGGAUUAAUACCGCAUGAGACCUGAGGGUGAAAGCGGGGGACUCGCAAGAGCCUCGCGCUACUGGAGCGGCCGAUAUCAGAUUAGGUAGUUGGUGGGGUAAAGGCCUACCAAGCCUGCGAUCUGUAGCUGGUCUGAGAGGACGACCAGCCACACUGGGACUGAGACACGGCCCAGACUCCUACGGGAGGCAGCAGUGGGGAAUUUUGGACAAUGGGCGAAAGCCUGAUCCAGCCAUGCCGCGUGUGGGAAGAAGGCCUUCGGGUUGUAAACCGCUUUUGUCAGGGAAGAAACGGCUCGCUCUAAUACAGUGGGCUAAUGACGGUACCUGAAGAAUAAGCACCGGCUAACUACGU
rnacentral:rRNA from 1 species